UAAGAAGCAGCACGGGCACACAAUAUAAAUGUGUACCUGUGUUGGAGCAGCCUGACUUCAAUAAGGAUCAAGAUGUCUCUGACAACUUUAAUGAGUCGCUGCACGCAUGUUGUCGAUGACUGCACUCGGCGUCUUCUGGAGGACGAUGUUACCCCUGAUGUUGAACAAUCAACAUUAAGGAGGCUAAUGAUGGUGCAGAGGAGCCUCCAGUGGGCGAGGGGGAGAUUGCUAAGUGUUACUGCUGCAGAUCAAAUGCUCAGUGACUUAUCUGAAUACAUGGAAGUGGUCAGAAUGGCAUGGGCACUGCAUCAAGGUGGAGGAUAGUCAUUCAUGGAGCUAUUGAUCGUCUUGUGGUCUUCCUUCGUGUCUCAAACAACAACGGCAGCAGCACUGUGCUGGAUGCAUUUCUGUGACACUACACUUCAUGAUCAGCAGAUGGUGGCUUAAUCCUGCAGAUGUCAAUAACAAAGAGAUUUUUCAAUGUGUAAUUUUAAAUAAAUAAAAGCCUGUUUUUGUAAAAGUAGUUUGUCAUUUGAGAGAAUUUGAACUAUUUUCAAAUCUUUGAAAUGUAUUGUUCAUUAUAAGGUUUCAAAAAACACAUUUAGUGUUUGUACUUCAUGUUGAAUAUUCUUACUAUUCUGUAAAGUGCUGUACAGCUCUGAGUGAAUUUGUUAAGUCCUUAUGAUGCAUGUUUUAUUUUGGUAAACUGGGUCUAAAAAUUAGUAUGUCAAUAAAGUAUGUAUG
rnacentral:lncRNA from 1 species